AAACAGCUCCGGGCAGAAUUCCAGUCCCAGUGUCUUGUCGAUGACAAAUAAGAGAAACCCUGCACAGAUCUCGGCUCCUGAAGCCCAAAUGUCCAGGGGCAGGCGGGGUGCCCCCCAGGUCCUGGGCUUGCUCUGCUUCCUCUGGGGUGCUCCCUGACCAGGACCCAGAGGGCAACACCCAGGACAGCACAGCAGCGAGGGCCCUUUCCCCAGCAGAGGCUCCCCCAGAGGCCUGGGCUGCUCUGAGGGAAGCCCCUGACCAGUUCCACUCCUGGGAGGGCUGCAUUUUAGGAUGGUUGAUUUUAGGAUCAGCUUGGCUAGGCCAUGGUGCCCAUUGCUCAGGUGUUUUUUAGAUGGGAUGAGCAUUGAAAUCUGCGGACCUGAGUGGAGCAGAUACCCCUCCAUAAUAUAGGUGGGCCCCGUCCAAUCUGCCAAAGGCCUUAAGAGAGAAGAUUGGGCUCCUCUGUGGAGAAGGGACUUCCGCGCCCAGCCUGCAGGCUUCAGACUUGAGCCUGAAGCAGUGACUCCUCCCUGGUCUCCAGCCUGCUGACAUACCGGGCAGCUUCCAGAUUUGCAAACCUCAUUAUCGCGUGUGAACAUCCAGGGCUUCCUACCUGCAGCAUCCCAGCCAGGAAGCAGCACAGAGCAUCUCCGCAGCCUGAAGACGAGGGGUCCUCCCUGUGACCUCACUCUUGCAGACAGACCAGCAGCCCCCUUCUUAGUGAACUCCUUCCCAGGAAAAAUGAGCACCCACUGCCGGCCGCCAUUGUUACAGCUCCUCCUCCGACCCACCUGCCCCCCUCUGGGGCCUCCCAGGACUCUGAUGACAUCAGCCCCACCCAGAUCAUCCAGGAUCCGCUCCCUGUCUCAGGACCCUUUACGUCAUCACAUCUGCAAAGUCCCCUUUGCCAUGUAAGGUCACAUAUUCACAGCUUCCAGGGAUUAGGAUGGGGACAUCUUUGGGAACCAUGACUCUGCCAAUCACAGAACCAAAUGAGGUCACUGGGGAGAAAGGGCCAGCAGAGGAGAGAGAGGGCUGGAGGCCUGGGCAGCACAGGUGAGCUUAGGGCAGGAGCCAGCCCCAGACAGAGCCAUCAGGUGGGGGGAGCCUCAAGAGUGAUGGGCCUUGGAGGCCACGAGGGCAGAGAGACGUCAUUAGCUGAGAUGCAGACUGACCAGGGCCCGUGGCAGCCUGGUGACAGUGCAGCAGGAGCAGUCUUAAUGGAAGGUGGGAAGGUGGCAGGAGGGAGCAGGUGGAAGAUGAACAGGAAGAGUGGCAGGUCC